CAGCACUUACUGAGGGUUGGAGGGUAUGUGACAUGCAUCUUCCUCAGGAUUGGAGGAUUCAAAGAUAUGAGAGAAAUACAUGGAAGAAGCCGUGAUGAUAGGCAGAAAAGAGAACAAUUACGCCAAGAGAAGGAAAUGUCCAAGUUUGCAUAAAUGGCAGAUGCACAUAGACAACGCCAACAAUAGCAACAACAACAACAACAACA